rnacentral:rRNA from 1 species
CUACGGGCGGCUGCAGUCGAGAAUCUUCCGCAAUGGGCGAAAGCCUGACGGAGCGACGCCGCGUGCAGGAUGACACCCUUCGGGGCGUAAACUGCUUUUAUGAGUGAAGAAGCUUCGGUUGACAUUAGCUCAUGAAUAAGGGUCCGCCAAACUCGUGCCAGCAGCGGCGGUAAUACGAGUGACCCAAGCAUUGUCCGGAAUUAUUGGGCGUAAAGGGUCCGCAGGUGGUCUGACAAGUCAACAGUUAAAUAUCCCGGCUCAACCGGGAAACCGCUGGUGAAACUAUCAGACUAGAGACUGGGAGAGGCAGACGGAAUGGUAGGUGUAGGGGUCAAAUCCGUUAAUAUCUACUAGAACACCAAAGGCGAAAGCAGUCUGCUUGAACAGUUCUGACACUCAGGGACGAAAGCGUGGGGAGCGAAUGGGAUUAGAUACCCCGGUAGUC